rnacentral:rRNA from 1 species
GCGUGGUGUUGCUGGUUGUGGAGGCUGCCUGCGUGGCCAGUCGGCGACCGGUUUGUCUGCUGCGGCGUUUAAAGGAGGAGUGUUCGAUUC